AACGAACGCUGGCGGCAGGCCUAACACAUGCAAGUCGAGCGCCCCGCAAGGGGAGCGGCAGACGGGUGAGUAACGCGUGGGAACGUACCCUUUGCUACGGAAUAGCUCCGGGAAACUGGAAUUAAUACCGUAUGUGCCCUACGGGGGAAAGAUUUAUCGGCAAAGGAUCGGCCCGCGUUGGAUUAGCUAGUUGGUGGGGUAAUGGCCUACCAAGGCGACGAUCCAUAGCUGGUCUGAGAGGAUGAUCAGCCACAUUGGGACUGAGACACGGCCCAAACUCCUACGGGAGGCAGCAGUGGGGAAUAUUGGACAAUGGGCGCAAGCCUGAUCCAGCCAUGCCGCGUGAGUGAUGAAGGCCUUAGGGUUGUAAAGCUCUUUCACCGGAGAAGAUAAUGACGGUAUCCGGAGAAGGAGCCCCGGCUAACUUCGUGCCAGCCGCCGCGGUAAGAC
rnacentral:rRNA from 1 species